GGACGACGACCGGCGGGGGGAGGAGGCGGCCCUAGCGCCAUUUUGUGGAGCGAAGCGGUAGCUGGGCUGCUCUUGGAUCCCUCGCUGCUUCGGUUCCCCUGUUGGGCUUCCUAGCAGCGGCCUAGCGGAAAAAGAAGAAAAAAUGUCUGAAUAUAUUCGGGUAACGGAAGAUGAGAAUGAUGAGCCCAUUGAAAUACCGUCGGAAGACGAUGGGACGGUGCUGCUGUCCACGGUGACAGCCCAGUUUCCAGGAGCAUGUGGGCUGCGCUACAGGAAUCCAGUGUCUCAGUGUAUGAGAGGGGUCCGGCUGGUAGAAGGAAUUCUGCAUGCUCCGGAUGCUGGCUGGGGGAACCUGGUGUACGUUGUCAACUAUCCCAAAGAUAACAAAAGAAAAAUGGAUGAGACAGAUGCUUCAUCAGCAGUGAAAGUGAAAAGAGCAGUCCAGAAAACAUCUGAUUUAAUAGUGUUGGGUCUCCCGUGGAAAACAACUGAACAGGAUCUAAAGGAAUAUUUUAGUACCUUUGGAGAAGUUCUUAUGGUUCAGGUCAAGAAAGAUAUUAAAACUGGUCAUUCAAAAGGGUUUGGCUUUGUUCGUUUUACGGAAUAUGAAACUCAGGUGAAAGUAAUGUCACAGCGACAUAUGAUAGAUGGACGAUGGUGUGACUGUAAACUUCCUAAUUCUAAGCAAAGCCCAGAUGAGCCUCUGAGAAGCCGGAAGGUGUUUGUCGGGCGUUGCACGGAGGACAUGACUGCCGACGAGCUGCGGCAGUUCUUCUGCCAGUAUGGAGAAGUGGUAGACGUCUUCAUCCCCAAACCAUUCAGGGCUUUUGCCUUUGUUACAUUUGCAGAUGAUCAGGUUGCCCAGUCUCUUUGUGGAGAGGACUUGAUCAUUAAAGGAAUCAGCGUACAUAUAUCCAAUGCUGAACCUAAGCACAAUAGCAAUAGACAGUUAGAAAGAAGUGGAAGAUUUGGUGGUAAUCCAGGUGGUUUUGGGAAUCAGGGUGGAUUUGGUAACAGUAGAGGGGGUGGAGCUGGUUUGGGAAACAAUCAAGGUAGUAAUAUGGGUGGAGGGAUGAACUUUGGCGCUUUUAGCAUAAAUCCAGCCAUGAUGGCCGCAGCCCAGGCAGCCCUGCAGAGCAGCUGGGGUAUGAUGGGCAUGUUAGCCAGUCAGCAGAGCCAGUCAGGCCCGUCAGGUAAUAACCAAAGCCAAGGCAACAUGCAGAGGGAGCCAAAUCAGGCCUUUGGUUCUGGAAAUAACUCUUACAGUGGUUCUAAUUCAGGUGCAGCAAUUGGUUGGGGAUCAGCAUCCAAUGCGGGGUCAGGCAGUGGUUUUAAUGGAGGCUUUGGCUCAAGCAUGGAUUCUAAAUCCUCUGGCUGGGGAAUGUAGACACAGAGGGUUAUGGUUGGUUGGUAUAGACUGGUGGGAAUUCAAAUUUUUCUAAACUCAUGGUAAGUAUAUUGUAAAAUACGUAUGUACUAAGAAUUUUCAAAAUUGGUUUGUUCAGUGUGGAGUAUAUUCAGCAGUAUUUUUGACAUUUUUCUUUCGAAACAGAGGAAGAGCUAAAGGAAUUUUAUAAGUUUUGUUACAUAAAGGGUUAAAUAUUGAGUGUUUGAAAGUGAACUGCUGUUUGCCUGAUUGGUAAACCAACACACUACAAUUGAUAUCAAAAGGUUUCUCCUGUAAUAUUUUAUCCCUGGACUUGUCAAGUGAAUUCUUUGCAUGUUCAAAAUGGAAACCAUUGAUUAGAACUACAUUCUUUUCUCCUUGUUUUAAUUUGAACCCCACCAUAUGGAUUUUUUCCUUAGAAAAAGCUCCUUUCUGGAGAUCAUGGUGUCACAGUGUUUGGUUCUUUUGUUUUUGUUUUUGUUUUUAACACUUGUCUCCCUUCAUAUACAAAAGUACAAUAUGAAGCCUUCAUUUAAUCUCUGCAGUUCAUCUCAUUUCAAAUGUUUAUGGAAGAAGCACUUCAUUGAAAGUAGUGCUGUAAAUAUUCUGCCAUAGGAAUACUUCUGUCUACAUGCUUUCUCAUUCAAGAAUUCGUCAUCACACUGCACAGGCUGCGUCUUUGACGUUUUUAAUAAGUCUGGGUGACCGCACCUAAAAUGGUAAGCAGUACCCUCCAGCUUUUUCUUAGUGCCUCUGUGCAUUUGGGUGAUGUUCUAUUUACAUGGCCUGUAUAAAUCUCCAUUGGGAAGUCAUGCCUUUUAAAAUAUUCUUAUUUGGGGGAGUUGGCAAAACAAUGUUAAUUAUUUUCAAUGCUUUGUAACAAAGCAUAUCAAUUGAAAAAAGGGAAUGUCAGCACCUUUCUAGUUUUGGAUUUGAAAAGUGGAAUUAAUUGCAAUAGGGAUAAAGUAGAAGAAACCACAAAUUAUCUUGUGCCUGAAAUCCAUUUAAGAAGCCUGAUAGCUUUAAGAACUAGCAGGGUGGGUUGUCUGUCUGUGGAAGUGUUAAGUGAAAUGGGCUUUGUCCUCCCAAGGUGGGGGAUUAUAGUAAUGUUGAAUAAAAUCGUUUACAAAACUCAGACUCUCACGAUGCAGUGUGAAGUAUGUAAAAGCAAUAAUAUAUUGAUUCUCUAUUGUACUUUUGAUGUAACUGCUACUUCUGUGAGAGUUGAGCUCGUUUUCUAACGGAAGAAUGUAACAAUUUUUGUGUUGAUAGUUUACUAUUGCCCUUAUCUAAUUAGAUUAUGAUAAAUAGGUUUGUCAUUUUGCAAGUUACGUGUUUUAAACUUUUAUAAAUGAAGUCUUCCUUUGGACUUGUGAUCGCCACAUUGUUUUGUUGUUCAGUUUUCUCUGUAAAGGGAUCUUGCGUUGUUUUAAUUUUUUUUCCUGCAUCUAAAUUGCAUGAUUUCCAAACCCUGUACCAUCUGAAUUUUGCAUUUUAGCACUUGCAAUAUUACUCAGCAGCAGUAACAUGGUAACACUUAAAAUGGUAUUCGGGGGACCUCCAAAGACUAAACUGACAAGCCUUCAAGGAACCCAGGGGGAAGUGAGGCUGCUUUACAACAGCACAAUUCAAAUAGCCACGUGAUACUUCUUAGCGCCUCAGAAAAUGAGGUGAGUGAAAAUAAACUUUUAGAAACGAAUUUGUUUUGCUAAAAGAAAUGAUCUGCAUGAUUGGAGAAAUUAUUUUGAGGGCAAACAGGAAUUGUCUGAGCUGAUGCACUGGGUGAUGUGUGUAGAAAGUGAAAGGAAAUAGCCUUUCAUUGCUUCUGUUUUCUUACUUGUAAAAUGUGUAUUUCCCGUAUAGUUCUGGGAAAGCAGGAGCCUAAGGUCACCAUCAUGGGAUUUGCAAAAUUACUUUCAUCUUUGAACAUUUAAAUGUCUUAAAAAUUAGAACAUUGCAGUUGUAGCCAAGAACCUUCUGGUUCAGAAAUUACUAUUUUUGGUCUAGUUUAUUCUUCCAGAUAUUAAAUUUUACUGUCUAUUGCGAACUAAAUACGCUCAUUAAUGUAGCAAAUUUGUUUCCUGUUGUGGCAGAAUACUUGUUUAAAACUUAUAAACGUGUCAGCUAAGAUAGAGGUUUUUAAAAAAACUAAUUUAAGCCAAAUAACAUAAGGGUAAUGAAUAUAUUAUUACCUUUCUGAAUUUUUUUUAAAAUCACUACUUAACUAUAUCAGAGCAAGUUCUGGUAAAAAAAAUUUUUUAAGUACUAUUAAAGGGCAAAUUCCAUUAAUGUUUAAAAACUAGAUGUCAUCGAAAACAAUUGCUUAGGAAAAUAAUGAAGUUAUUAGCUUUGGGUUUUAAUAGCGUUUUUACAGAGAAGAAAAGUAACUCAACAGAAAAAUUCAUGUUUAUAAAUGUGUAAGUGGUUCAAGAUAAUUUUUAAAAUCAUUCAUUUUUUAUGCUUGCCUAGUUGUAAGGUCAAAAAUAACUGACUGAUGCAGUCAGCACCUAACGCCCUCUCCUUGUGGACAGGGGAUCAUGGGAACAUAUUGUCUGGAAGUACUAACUUGGUGUCAGCCCAGUGCUGAAGUUGCUUUUCUGCCUCCCAUGGCUAAAGCCAUGCUUGUUGUCUCCUACCCAGUCCUACUUGCCAUCAAUUACAGAUCCCUUGUAUAAAUGUAUCCAUUACCAGGCUCGCAAACGGGGAGUGAUUUUUCUCCUUUGGAGCUCGUCCAGAAUCCAUCAGCCUCACACACAUAUUUACCUGCAAAUCAUUGGAAAAGCAAAAAUGUUUAACUGCGUGUAUAAGGUGGUUGUCAUUUUCUUGAAUACCCCCUUGAAAAAUGUUGAUUCUUGAGCAUCAGUGAGAAAUAGAGGUGUCUGAAUAACCAUUUUACAUGAUUUCAUAAAUAGGAGGUGUCUGCAUUACCAUGUUUGCUUGCAAAGUGGAAACCUUUUAGAUGUAUAACUUGAAUAUGUAUCAAGAUCUCAAGUGCUUAAUGAUAAGGUUUUGACUUGUUAAAUUAAACCAUUUGGAAUAUA